rnacentral:lncRNA from 1 species
CGCUUGAGCAAGAAUUUAAAUACACUUUAAAAACUCAAUUCUUCGUGGGAUCGAUCCGUACUCAUCGAACAUGCUAUCUUGCACAUCGUGCAUUUGCGGUUAUAUUUAAGACAUAUCAAGUUUUUGAUGUCGUUAUCGAGGAAUUGGCGUGUUUAAAUUGUGUUUUAAAUUCUUGUUUUUCGUGCUUUUAGUUUUAAUUUGAGUAAUUUUUUUCUGUCUUCUUUUAGUUAUUUUAGUCAAAUCAAAAUCUGCCUUGAUAUAAAGUUGUCCUGGCAUA